rnacentral:rRNA from 1 species
UACGUAGGAGACGAGCGUUGUCCGGAGUUACUGGGCGUAAAGGGCGCGCAGGUGGCGGCGCGCGUGGGGGGUGAAAUCGCCCGGCUUAACUGGGCGGGGGCCUUCCAGACGGCGUGGCUUGAGCAGCGGAGGGGGACGUGGAAUUCCAGGUGUAGCGGUGAAAUGCGUAGAUAUGACAUAGAACACCAAUUGCGAAGGCAGCUGGCUACACGAAUAUUGACACUGAUGCACGAAAGCGUGGGGAUCAAACAGG